ACAGUACAAACUGAACAGACCAAGUCGAAGCUUUGAGUCGGGUCACAAUGUGACAGUGGAGUUUAAUACACCCACGGGACAGU
rnacentral:ncRNA from 1 species